UUCUUUCUGCCAAAGGUCUUUUAUUGGGGUGGGGCUGCUGCUGCUCCAACUGCAAAUGUUAGUGGCCCCAGGACAGUUUGCAGCCUUCCAGAACCCAUGUUUUCCCACAGCUUUUAGCAUGUCCACUCCUCAAUUUUUUUAAAAAUAAAACUUUUUUGGCAGUCGAUUCUCCUGCUGCCCCCAUACUCUCAAUUUUUUAACCAUUUCAGUUUUUUGGCCCAGUAGAGUGUAUGAGGACUCCAACCCCCCUUGGGAAAAAUCCCUUUUUAAAUGGAACUCAUUUUUUUGCAGCUAACAAAAACCCAUUGUAGUGACUUUUUUUUUAAAAAAGGAUCCCCUCUUAACUCCUCUACUUGGGAUUGAAGUCCUCAGGCUGCUAUAAAAUCUGAAAAACCAGCCAUCAACUGCACUCGUCCUUUUUCUACUGCUGGUAAAAUGGACCAAUGACUUAUGACAAUAAAAAGGGACUUGUCACAUUUGCAAAAACAAACAGAACACAAGAGCUCACUGAGAAAUAUGUCUUUUCCUUAUUCUGGAAGACGAAACUCUUUUGUAUAGAUUUGAACAUUCAGAUACCAGGGAAGAGCCAGCAAAAAUACUUCAUUUUCUGUUUGCUUGAAAAAUGCCACUACUUAAAAAACAAAACAAAACAAAAAACUGGAGUGUCAAUUUAACUUUAACAUUGCUUGAAUGUUAUAUCAAUAGUCAUUGGUUUGCCCUGUUGAAGGAAGACCUGAAAGAAGAAUAAAGCUUUUCACUACAACA
rnacentral:lncRNA from 1 species